AUGGGGAGGGAAGACGGAACUGAGGGGAACGAGGACAAUGAAGAUGAUGAUGAAGAAGAGGAUGACGAAAAAGAAGAUGAUGAAGGAAAGAAGGACGAUGACGAUGAAGAAGGCGAUGGGAAUGAAAAAGACAAGGAAGAUGAUGGGCAGGGGAAGCAGGAUGAAGAUGAUGAAGAUGAUAGCGGAGGUGGCAACGGUGGUUCAGGCAGCAAUGGUGGCUCCGGUCGGGACGAGGAUCCCGCAGCUGAAAACCCAAGCAGCACGCUGCAAUUUCUGAUUGAAAAGAAGAGGGACAGAAAGGCAAAAGGAUUGGAUGAGGCAGAUAGGAUCUCUAUCAAAGACCUUGUGAUGACAAAAUUCAAAACCGCUGUUUCCCCAAAACCACGCUUCCCUGUUUUUGAAGUGAAAGAAAUGUUGGGUAUUGAUGACUCAGCCAAUGGUAUCCAGAGGGCCAAGGUGCAAGACUUCAAGGCAUCACCUGAGGCUGCAGCAUUAAAUCAUGCAGGACACAAAAAGGAGAAAGAGAACAUCCCUCUGGUGUCAUGUAUGGAGAUCAAAAGGAUACAAGACCUGCCUGAAGCUGUAACCAUGGGAAAAAGUCCGGAACAAAAGUUGCUAAGAGCCCUAGGGAAAUUGCCUGUCUGCUCAACUGUGCUUGCCCAACCUGAGGCCACAAGUGUUCCAGAAGCAGUAGAAGCAACUGGCCAGGGGAACACUUCUCAUUUCUCUGAUGUGGAGGAGCGGUACCAUGAAUUCAUGCGUGUUAGUGCGAAGACAACCAAUGCACUAGAAAUCAAUGUUCUAGAUGUGAGUGAGCUGUUUGCAAGCCCAAGGGUAAUUGAAUAUGGCAAAUACUUUGUCACAGUCAGGGAGCUCGCAAACUCAAUGAAGAAGGAAGGUUUUGUCUUGAGCCAUGUAACGGAAGUUGGUAUAGAGACUAUAAUGAUGAACUUGCCACCAGACUCAAAGAAGCUCGUGAUGCCCGUCAGGUUCUCGGUUCAGAUGCAAAACAUGGAAUUGAACGUCAAGGAGCUCAUUUCCCGGUUCAAGAAGUCGAAUCGCUUGGACCGUAAAGACAUGAUUAUGUUCCCAGUUUUAGAGAACAUUGACAAGACAAAGCCUAAAACAGGCAAUCAUUACUGGAUUUUUAACGUGAACAUAAGGGAUCGAUGUUUUGAAGCUCUUGAUUCUUAG
rnacentral:rRNA from 1 species